rnacentral:rRNA from 1 species
GCUAACUAUCAAGCCUACAAAUUAUUAAGAAAACCUAACUCAGACUAUACAAGAUAAAACAUUUUAUUGUUUAAGUAAAGGCGAUUAAAAAAACUCUAAGAGCUUCAACUCAAGUACCGCAAGGGAAAGAUGAAAUAUAAAUGAAAUAAAAUAAAGCACAGAACAGUAGAGAUUAAAGCUCGUACCUUUUGCAUCAUGGUCUAGCAAGUCAUUGUCAAGCACAGAGACACUCAAGUUUGACUUCCCGAAACUAGGCGAGCUACUUCAAAAUAGCACAUAGGGCCAACCCGUCUCUGUGGCAAAAGAGUGGGAAAAUUUUUAAGUAGUAGUGACAAACCUACCGAGCCUAGAGAUAGCUGGUUAUUCAAGAAAAGAAUUUUAGUUCUACCUUAAGUUUAAACAUGACCGUAAACAUAAUAUUAUUCUUAAGAGUUAUUCAAAUAAGGCACAGCUUAUUUGAAAAAGGCUACAACCUAAACUUUAGGGUAAGAUAUUACAAAACUAACAAAGUAGGCCUAAGAGCAGCCACCUUUUAAAAAGCGUUAAAGCUUUAUUAUUAAUUUAUUAAAUUUCACCUGACAUCACCAACCCAUCACCAGUAUUGAAUAAAUUCAUAACCUAUGAAAAUUAUUAUGCUAGAACUAGUAACAAGAAAAUGAAUUUCUCCAAAGUGUAAGCAUAAACCAAAAUGGACACCACACUGGUAAUUAACGACUAUGAACCCAUUAUAGUAACAUAACUAGAAAAUCCUAUAUCUAACCCCGUUAACCUUACACAAGAACUCUCCUGGAAAGAUUAAAAGGAAGAGAAGGAACUCGGCAAAUCUUAACCCCGCCUGUUUACCAAAAACAUCGCCUCUUGGUCAGAUAUAAGAGGUCUAGCCUGCCCAGUGUUUUAGUUUUAAUCAACGGCCGCGUGAUUUAAACGCGCGAAGGUAGCAUAAUAAUUUGUUCUUUAAAUGAGGACUUGUAUCAAUGGCAUCACGAGGGUUAUACUGUCUCCUCUCCCCAAUCAGUGAAACUAAUCUCCUUGUGAAAAAGCAAGGAUAAGAUCAUAAGACGAGAAGACCCCAUGGAGCUUAAAACACGGCAACAACCCUAAUAUCAUAACCAAUUUAAUUUUAAGCCCUGUAUGCUAGUUUUAGGUUGGGGUGACCACGGAGUAAAGCAAAACCUCCACAACGAAAAGGGGUUAUACCCUUAUCUAAGAGAUACUUCUCUAAGAAUUAUUAAAAAUAACGUCCAAUGAUCCGACUAUCGACCAAUGAACCAAGUUACCCUGGGGAUAACAGCGCAAUCCACCCUGAGAGCCCCUAUCGACGAGUGGGCUUACGACCUCGAUGUUGGAUCAGGAUAUCCCAGUGGUGCAGCCGCUACUAAAGGUUUGUUUGUUCAACAAUUAAAAUC